GGGUAUUUUGCUCUGAAAGCCACAAGAUUACAAAUACUACAUUCUUUGGGUUCACACAAAUGCACUGGGCACCAACAUGACAUAAUAUUCCACAGCAGCCUAGCAGUUAUCGAUGAAGCCAGAGUGAAAACAAAUAAACACACAAAAGCACUCUCAUGCUCCUGGUUGAAAGGCUAAAGUCUCGUUCUGCUAAAGUACAGUCUAUGUAUCAACAGUAGCUGCUGAAACAUGGUGGAGCAAUAUGGGUCUCAUGCUCCUGGGGAGCAGGAGGGAAGAGGGAAAUCUGAAGCCCCAGGGCUACAAAGAAAGAUAUUGCUCUCAAUGGUGCCCAGAGACAUCUCACAUCUUCCAGCACAUUAAAGAACCACCCAAACCAUUCUCCAUGGGCUCUCCAGGUCAUUCCAAGAUUUUACUGCAUUGCUGCAGAACACCGCCACCUUUCUUGCCAGCUGGGGCUCCAUUACAAUGAAUCAGCAGCAAUGUUGGCAGCUGGGGUCGCUAAAUGUGAACGCUGGGGAUGGUGCUUACGUGGCAGAGGUGGAGAUGGAAUGAUUUGGAGAGGGUAACUAAUAAUAUACAACAUCUGAUGCAGAAGUGUUGCCAAUGAUUAAUUCUUAUAUUUUCCUCGUGUCUCAGGACAAGACAGUAAUACAUUGUGGUGAUGGAAUUGGUUGCACUGCAUUGAAUUUUAAAGAAAAAUAGAAAGGGAAGUAUUCAGUUUCAUUAGACCAGGUUCAAAUUUCUCCCUGACUUCUAUUUCAGCCUUCUGCUUCAGGGUCUAACUGGCCUGCCUGCGGCACCAUAUGCUUGCAUUUGACAUUGGUUUUACUAAUACCUUUGGAAAUAUAGAGCUAGAAGGAUUAUAUUGUAAAUCCUGAGAAGUAGAGUGUUACCGUGGGAAGGGCAAUGGAUUUGGAGUUCUGCUACUUAGGACCUGUGUGACCUUGAGUAAGUACUUAACCUCUUUGGGCCUCAACUUCCCCAUUUAUAAAAUGAAGGGGUUAGACUACAUGGCCUGAAAAGUCCCAUCCAGCUCUGAAUUUAUAAUUCUGUGACCUUCUCAUAUAUGUCUGUAAGGAACAGAGCUGGGAUUUGAACCCAGGCUGUUUAACUCCAAAGACUCAGCAUUUGUUUGAUUUCCCAACACUAUUUUCAAGGUGAAAAAGCUUUUUCAGUCAAAGUUAAGUGACAAAAGGUAACUUAGUCACCAAUAACUAUCUUGAAGCGGGC
rnacentral:lncRNA from 1 species